CCUCAAACACCAUCUCUCUCUCUCUCUCUCAUUCACGCACCACCCUCUGUGCAAAGUGAAAACCCUAAUUCUCAUCCAUGGAAGUUGAGUUUCAACCAAAGAUAGGAAGCUAACUUUUUGAGGGGAAUGUUGUUUGGCUCGAGGCCCAUAACAAGAUCCACCUUCACAUAUAAUAUAUCGGUAUGAUGGAUCAUAUGUUAGGCGUCGGACCAGGCUUCAUUCCCCCCAAUUUCUUGCUUCCUUCCAAUUCUAAUCCACCCCUUUAUACAGAUGAACUUACCAUGGUACAUAUGAGAUGGCCAAACAACAUCAAGCCAAAUAUGGCUGAAGUAGUGAAAGAUACAUCAAAUAUAACGUAGGUGUGCAUCAAAUUUAAUACGUAAAGAUGAUGAAAAAAUAGAAGACCAAGGAAAAUAGCCAUUGUAUGUGUAGAUAUGUUAAAAAUAGAGUUAUAACAUAUGAAGUCCGUAUUUGGGUUUUUAUUAAUUAUAAAUUUAUAAUGGAUGUAAGUGUUGAGGGUUUUUCAAAA